UGAAAACAAAUUCUGACUUGUUUUGGUUUUUGCGAUUUUUUCCUUUCGCUCUUGAUUUUUUUUUUUUUUUGAAUUAUUAAACUUGUAUUAGACGACGUUCGAUUCGAUUUGUAAUUUAAUUAACGUUGAUGUAAUUUAAAUAAAGAUGCGGAAAGAAAUUACUGUCUGAUUAUCGUCUAUUGACAGAAUUUAACCAAUUGAAUGUAUCUGAAGAUGGAGGAGCCAAGCUUGCUUUGAAAAUGAUGGAUUAUCAACGAAAACCGAGGUGUCACUAUAGUAUGAGAAUCCGAACUUUAACAAAAAUCAAUCAUUGAUGACACCAUACUUGCUCAACAAUUGUUGUCCUCAGCUACCUGAGAAAAUCUCCACUUCAUUUUCCUGGCGAUGAAAACAACACAUUCCCGUGAUCUGCUGACCUCUUAGCCAGGCAAUAUCGUACUGAUAUCAAAAUUAAUGGCCGAAAAGUCAGUCAUCGCCCACUCCUCGUGGAUUUAAGUCUUUAAAAAAAAUUCUCUGUGUUGUACCAAAUUUUCUGACUUGAUUUCACCUUCGACCAACAACGCCGGUGAGUACAAACCUUCCCAACCAUCUUGACCUUGACUUUCCCAAUCCAGAACUUUCUGAACCCUUCCAGAAAAAUAACUGACUAUUGGCCUCAACGGAUAUCUCAACAGAAUCUAUCAUCACUCCAGGAACAUCCUCUACAAAAGGUUUAAGCCUAUUUCAAUAAUUUGUUUAAUUAAAUUCCAAAUAUGAGCUGUCCUAUCUAAUAGGCAAUUGAAUAAAUCAAAUUGGAAAUUCAGAACUAAGCAGAUGAUGAAACAUAUGUGAAGGCUCCAGGCUCGUGCUAUUAUACAAUGUUUGAAGGAGAAGUUCUAGAAACUCAAACAUUGAUUGGUGUUGAAAAGUUUGGCUCAGAAUAUCUGGUAUGACAAGCAAUUUGCCAGCAUGGAUUGAAAGUUUGUCAUUUGUAACAAAAGGAAAUAUUAGUGCUGAAAUUUAUAUUAAUGAAUGUUAAAAAAGGAAGAUGAUUUUUUAAAGAAAUUGCAAUGGCCAUACUUAGUUUUGGCCAGAUUUGGCAACAAUACACUAUAUAAAAUUCACAGUAAGUUGGCUGGAAUGGCACAGAAUCAAUUUUGUACCUCAAGACACAUCCACCAAACAUACUACAAUGCCAACCAAUAGAAAGAUUUUGAUGUUUUGUAAAAAACAGAACAAAACUGAAAAAGACAUUAAAAGUUUUUCUCUGAAGUAGAAAAGAGCAGUCACAAUGAUUGAAGGACGUACUGUCAAAAAUCUUAUGGAGAGCAUUCAAAAGAAACUUCAGAAUGAAUGGAGCAAAACUUACAUAUUCAGAUUUAAAUAAUUAUAACAUUUAUUUU